rnacentral:misc_RNA from 1 species
UCUCUCUUGCUUUUUUUUUCUCUGGAGAAAGGAUCGUGGAAGCUUUCCACACAGACGUCGCCUUCCUUCCCUUCCUCCCCGUUGACGGCCACCCAUUGCGCUUUUCGUAUUUCACGGCGGAUGCGAGCGUGUGUGUGUGCUCUAUAGUCACUGCCGCCGUUUCACUACUGCGGGCACUCGUUCACGACAUCACCCGCUGUACACAAUCGCCAGCGCCUUGUUUUGCACGCAUAUUAUACUGCUUCUGUUUUCUCUUCUGUGUCAUCUCGGUUUGUUUCCCCCCUUUUUUUCUGACAAGUGCGGUAGCGUACGCUGCACAGAGGAACGCGCAGGCACACUGUCUUCCCCCUUCUUCACCCACCAAACCUGCUCACGCCCCCAUCACCCUUAACGCACCCUCUACACGCAAAAGGCGAUUGUGAUUGUGCGCCUGUUCGAAGACGCAGUCCAAGAGCGAGUAGAAGCAUCUACCACACAACCACACAUACACAAACACACCCAGGCACAGGCACACGCUCAGGCAGACGCGGCACGGGCGUCGGUGACCUUCACACAAAACGGUGCCGGCCCGCUUGCGCACGGCUUAAGAGGUAGCCUAUACGGAAGACGAAAAUUUAGACUACCUUUUUUUUUUCUCGUUCACCACAUCACAUACGGAGUGGGUGAACAAAAGACAGAUACGCGUAUAUCUCUGACACGCUGACGCACGCUUCGGUCGAAGGCAUACACAGGAUCGAGGCGACGAGCACAGGAGGAUAGCCACGUAGGCAGAGUCUCACCCUUAUUUAAAUAGAUAACGAGAGUCGGUGAAAGUGAACCAAAAGCUAAGAGGAGUUGCAGAGAAGCAAGGGCCUCUCUCGGUCUCCCCUCCCAGUAACGGAUAACCCGCCCCGGUCUUUUCCCUUUGAUGCCCUUUGAGCUGUUUCGUGCAUUCCACCCUUCUUGCCUGGAUAACCCUUCGGUCUUUGUUUUUUUCGUUGUGUGGUACCAGGUGAGGUUAUCUCAUCGAACCACCACCGCAGCAACGAACGGACAGCUGAGCACUUGCACGAGAGUGUUGACAGGUGCGUUUUUGUUUUUGGUGCGUGGUGCGCUUGCGGGCUGUAUCUGUGUGUAUAUAUAUGUCUGCAUGCUUGCUUGGUUUCGAGCAUUGCGCUUUCUUCUUGUCGACGUCGGUCUGGUGUGAUCUCGCACCUCUUGUGAUACCUCGUGUGUGUGUGUGUACGCAUCUUUCUUCCUCUCUGUGUGCCUCUCUCUUUUUUUUUCGCGUUCGCCGCAUCUCUGCUUCCUUCGUUUCUCUGUCUUUUGCAUUCCCUUUUCUAGUUUUCGUCUUUGCUCUCGUCUUGUCUUUCGAUUCCUUCUUCACCUGCAACAUCUGUUGGAAAGCGUACACGGAUUUACACCAUCUCACUUGCACUUUUCUUUCCAUCGCCAUUAAAACACCGAUUCCCACGCCAGCAUCUUGUGCACACCGACGCGUAGAGAUCGUCACGAGCCCCAACGCGGGGACUGAUAUGAAAGUCUCCUUUUUUCCUUUCAGCGUCGUGCGUGCGUCUCUCUCCCUUUCCGUUGUCUUGCUCGCCUUUUCUGUUGCUCACUGUUGGUAUUCCACCACCCCCCAUCCUCCCUUACGUCUUUUCUUUGCAUACAGUCGCUCGUCUCUUGGGCUGCUUUGUGUGUGUGUGUGUGUGGGUGGGUGGGUGGUGUUUGACUGUCUGGCGCUGCGGGUCUCUUGUCUGGGCCGCGUGCGGCUGUGCGCGUUGCCCCUUCCCUUUGCGCUCUUCUCGUUGUUCUCCCCCGCCUUCCUCUGCUUCUGUUCUCUCUUCGCUGCCUUUGCGGGUGCCCUCCGCCUUUUGUCUUUUAUUCCUUCUUUCCCUUCUUGGUUCCUUUCGUUUUUGUUCCCCUCCUGUUGACAGUGCUUCCAACCCCCCUCUCCCCCUGCUCCGGACUUCCUCGCUGCCUGGAAGCAGACGCCGACCGCACAGCCCCCCUUUUUCAUAACCCCAGAAGCACGGCCUGGGCCCACCGAGGUGGGCUUUCUCUCACUCUCCCGUGUAUCUCGUGCCGAUCAUCCCCUUCGCCUAAACCAACAGCUCACACUUUUACUUCUCUUCACCACCACCUCCGCUGCCCCCCCUCCCGACUCCCUCGAGCCAUUCGAAAGCCCUUGGGUCUUGUGUGUGUGUGUUCAUCAUCACAUCUCAUAUUUUCUCCUUGCCUGUGCGUGUGCGCGUGCUUGUUCAGCUCUUUGUGUCACUGGGUUCUGAGACCACCUCCCCCUCCCCAUCACCACACACAUACACACGCACUUACAGCACAGUACAACACAUCUCCGCCGUUCUCCGUAGCUGUACCUUUCUACAUCGUUUGCUUUGAAGGGAAGGAACGAACAGACUCUUGUCUUUCGUCGGCUAUUGUUUUCGCGCUUUUUGCCCCCUCCCCCUUUACCUGUAUGCCGUGUGCCGUGCGGACUCGUGCAGCUUUCUGCGGUUCGAUUGCUCUGUUUUUUUUUUCCUUUUCCCGUGCUCGUGCUUCUUUAGAAGUAAGUCGAGUCGGACGGGGAGGCAGUCGAGAAAAUUCCUUUCGCGAAAGAAAAUCAGAUCGUCUCUCAGCGUCGGCACACACACACACAACACAACCUCGCCUAGGUUUGUAUUGGUGGCCCUCUUUCCAUCUUUCCUAGCUUCCUUUCAUUAUCAGUCUCACUUUCUCUCGUGUGCGUGCUUGCUUGGCCCCUCCCCUCUCGCGCACUUCCUUUUUGCUUUGGUGUGCGUAUCGCGCCUCGCACCAUCUGGAAUAAGCGAAGCCUCAAUCACCCACGCACUGCACUCGCAGGAUGGACAACUACGAUGUACUCGAGGUCAUCGGCGAGGGUACCUACGGGGUUGUCUUCAAGUGCUGCGAUAAGCGGACCAAUCGGAUAGUGGCGGUGAAGCAGUUCAAGAACUUUCAGGCGAACGCGUACGUUCGUGUCGCAAUGCUGCGGGAACUGCGCGUUGAGCAGCUGCUCAAGGGCGAGCCCAACGUGACGCAGCUGCUCGAAACGUUCAAGCAGAAGAACCGCCUGUACCUUGUAAUGGAGUACAUACCGCGCAGCCUGCUAGACGUUCUGGAGGAGGUACAGCACGGCCUGCCUGAGGACUCGUUGGUGGUGCUUCUCUUCACCAUUCUCUUGGGCAUUCGCUCCUGUCAUCGCAACGGAAUCAUUCACCGUGAUGUGAAGCCGGAGAACAUCUUGGUGCGCGACGACGGCACAGCCUCCCUGUGCGACUUUGGGUUUUGCCGGCCACUUCCUCGGCAGCUUCAGCCGCAGGCACAGCAGCUCUCCAUCUCCUCGCAAGACAUCGGCCCAUCGGCUUCACCAAUAGCCGAGAGUGGCAGCUUCGGACUUCGCUCCUUGCCGCCACCUAAUGACACGCCGCAAAUGUGCAACGUCGCCUCUGUCUCAUCAGCAAAUUCGGCUAUGCUUAGCGAGCUUGUCCUUGCUGAUCAUCAGGCGAUCAUGACAAACUACGUGGCGACGCGGUGGUACCGAAGCCCGGAGAUGCUCCUGGGGAUGCCCAGCUAUACCUACGCUGUGGAUAUGUGGGCUGUGGGAGCCAUCAUGGCGGAGGCCAUCGAUGGUGAGCCGUUGUUGCCAGGCAAGACGGAACUGGAGCAGCUCUCGCUCAUUCAGACCCGCAUCGGGGAUUUCCCAGCGGCAUACGAGGCGGCGGUGCGAAAGCGGAACGGUGGCACACUGCGCCUGCACUCCUUGAACCCGCUCGCAGCGCCACCGCAGCAGCUGCGCACCAAGUCGAUGCAGCAGAAGUCACGGCGAGCAAGCGACGCAAGGGACGCGGCGCAGAAGCGCACAGAGUCGAAGCAGGGCACGAGCUCCUAUUUGACCGAGCGUUAUGGAGGGCGCAUUGCGAAGGCUGGCUUGAACCUACUCCAUCGACUUCUGCGCAUCGACGCGGCGGAGCGCAUCACCGUCGAGGAGGCACUUGGGCACCCCUACUUCGACAGCGUGCGAGGGAGGUUCGAUGCAGCUCCGAAUGGGGCUCGUGGAGCUCGCAACAGCAAUGGCGCCUGCGAUGAGGCAGCAGAGAUGCAGCCGACCACUGCGGAAACAGCGGGGCCGACGCCGAUGCCCCUAACGACGACCGCGUCACGCCAAGCGCCUCUCCCUCCUCUCACCGCCACCGGGGCCGCCGACUGCAUUUCACCCCUCCUCUCUAUGUCGGAUGCCGCAGGUGGCGGCGGCUCAACGUGCCUAGCAGCUGCGGCACCACCGCUGGUGGAGGUGCCGUUCUCCCUGGUAGACAGGGUGGGCGCGGGGGCGGACGACGACGGCGGUGGCCCUCUGCAGAUGCCUUUUUGCGCUGAGCGCUCGCCUCGCGUGACGACCGUCGCGUGGGAGGCUUUGUCUUCUUCGCCUGGAUCGCGCGCGCCUUGCGCCGUAGCCAGCGGCAACUCCUCGACCACUAACUCGUCGAGUCUCUCGCUGUGGACAGCAUCGGACACCUCAGCUGAGGUCGCACCGCCCACUGACGUCACGGUAGCGAAGGACCACGUUUCGUUCCCAAGGUUCUCUAGCGUGCUUGUACCACUCCACCCGGAGUUGCCAAAGCCAACAGAGACGGGCUGUCGCCACGCCUCUGCGGCAGCGUGUAACGGGGCUGCCGAGGGCGGCAACUCACCACCACCGCUGGCGCCAGAGGAGAGCAACAAUGGUGGCCAACCUGUGCUGCGUCGACAGGCAGCCUCCGAAGGCGCGAACACGCGUGCCACUCAGCGCGACGCAUCCAUGCACAGUGAUGACUGCAGCUCCACCUCCCUGCUCCAGUCCCGGCAAAGCCACCACAGCCCGCGAGAUGCGCGGCAACUUCGACACCGCACAUCCAGCCUAGAGAGCGGCGGGAACGUCGCGGCGCUGAGGGGAAGCGACUCCUCACCAAUGAAUACGGCUGCGCAGGAACCCAGUGGCGCUGGUGGGGCGGUACCCACCACCGCGGUAAGUGGCAUGGAUGACCCUGCCUCUCCCUCUGUGCUGCAGUCUCGACGAACGGCACAGAGGCGCAGCGGCGGCGUGGUGGACUCCCGGCUGUCGUCGAGCAAAAUCAGUGCGGCGAACGCAUGCCGCACCACUUCACCGUCAUCCCUGCCGGCAAAGACGUACUCUUUCAAGUCAAUCCCCACGAGUCGGUCAAAGGCGCUGGCACCCAACGUAGUACAGUCCACCUCUAAAUAUGAUCUGAUGCAGUCAGCGCCAGAGGACCACACAGAAAAGCGGCGGCACCCCAGUGGACCGGUGAGCGCGCCCCGCUGCCAGGGCAGCGGAAGAGGCGUCGAAAAGGGAGCCGCAGCAAACUCGAAGGGCGCACACACGUGCAGCAGCAGCAGCUCCAUGAUGUCCAACGCGCUGCGGAGUGCGCGCGGCGAUCCUGGCCGCACUGGCGGGCUGGGCUCUGCGACGAAAGAGCGGCGCUCCAGCGUGGGCAGGAGGAUCGAUGGACAUGGGCUGCACGUCGUUCCAGCCGCCCCAUCCUGUGUUAACGCGACGACUCCUGCCAGCUCGUGUCGCGCGACUGCACAGGAGCCAGCGGAGGUGUCGUUGCUGAGGCGACGGAGCACGGCCAAAUCGCGUCCACCUCCGCAGCCGGGUCGCCGCACCAGCACACCGACGGCCCGCGGCGGCAUCGCAAACGGUAACCACCACAGCCCGACGCUGCCGAGGCCUCUUUUCGCCCGCAGCUCUCCAGAGGCGCCGGCGCUGCUCUCGGUGAGCGACGCGCGCGUGGGUGGCGGCAAGAAGCGUGGGCUUUCGCGCUUUGUAUCGCCUCAUUUGCCGCGUGAGGUGCGGCCGUUGCCGGCCCCGGAGCGGGUUACGUUGUUGCAGGAGAUCGAAAGUCUCGAAUUCGUGGUGGGCCCACCCAGUGCUGUGGAGGUUCUAGCGCCGGUCGUCGCUGCGCCGGUCUCUCACACGCCAGAGCACGCUGAAUCCGACACCGACGCUGGUGGAGGCACUCGCGACAGAAACGAAGGGGAUACAAGAGCCUCUACCAUUGCCUGUGCAGAGCAUGUGGUGCCGGCGUCUCAACCACCCGAGAUGCUGGAUAAUGAUGUACAACCGAACGGGGACCGCGGCGGAGGCAACUCCAGCUCCUCGCUAACGCUGGGAGAAACAAGAAGGCGGUGCUCAGGGACGGCGAGCUCGCGCGCCUGGGCUGCGAAGCGGGACACCGCAGCUUCUGGUAAAACCUCGGCGUUGGUCGAAGCCACCACCAACAGCAAAUUAGAGGAUAAUGGACGGCAACAAAGCCUCCAAAGACCGCCGCACCCGUGCGGCGGUACCGGAGGACGCCCCCUUCGCAUGGAUUCGAACUCGCAUUCCGGGAACACCAGCACACACAACGCAAACGCCACCACAGUCGGCAGCAGCCGCGCAGCACCUAGUCUCAUUUUCCGGUCUUCCCGCACCGCCUCGUCGCCCUUGAAGCUGGCGACCAUCCACCCUUUCUCGUUUGCCCUUCAGGGAGAGGGUGACCUCCGCGAGCUGUCGACGAACGGCUGCCAUGCAAGCACCUCUGCUAGUACGGGGAUGUCCUUCACGACUCCUAACUCUGUGGCCUCGCCCCCAACACGCCGACUCGCUCCAGCGUUGCGGCGUCAUCACCACCCUGCCACCGCUGUGGGCGCAUGCUUGGUUCAGGCGUCUACCUCCCUCGGUCCUGAUCCUGUAUUCGGAAGCAGCGCCUUUUCUGCGCACUCACCUCUUGUCGCGAAGGACUCUGCUUGGUCGCCGACUCUGUCGCCCAAACCGCAGAAACGCAGCGAAACUGAUACUAGGCGGGCAUCGAUGGAGUCGCCAAUCGUGUCACUGUCUGGCACGCGGCAACAGCGCUGUCUUUCCGACAUACCUAUCGAGCUCUCUCUCAGUGAGGAGUUGUUUGCUGACUCGGCCGCUUGUGGCCCACGAGUGAGGCACCGCAGACACGAGAAUGCAACCCCGCUCUCCACCACUCCCCCCAUUACGAUGCCGGACGACUUGGAAACUGUAGUGCUGAUGGGCACUCCACCAGAACCCCGGCGCACCAACCAGCAGCGUCAGGACGAGGUGGCCUGCACCGCCACCUGGUCUCCCACCCGCAGCGGUGCGACGGCUAUGAUGCCAACUAGCAUGCCCGGCAACUCUGCUCCGUUUCGAGGCCUCGACCGAGACAGCGAUGGCUCGUCAGCUCCCUUCGAAGGAAAGGGCUCUGCUGCGAAGACGGAAGCGGUGGACAUCACCGCGAGGACAAGGAGGCACAGCGUCGCCCCGGCGUUGUUCGCUGCCGCGCCAAAGGGCGUACCGGCGCUAAACGAGGAUGAUUUGACGAACGUCUGCGAAACUUCGUCUCUGCCGAUGCGGGGCUCGCUGGAGGCACGCGGCGCGGAGAACGGCGCGUCCACAUCCUCCCGGAAGAUACCCGGACCUGCACUAGCACCUCCCCAGCCGCUUCUCGGCGGAGCGAGCGUGCUGAGCGCGCAGCAGCUGCACGCGGGGGGAGGUCGGAGAAAGAGUCGGCUGGUACUUUGAGCGUCGGCGCACUCGCAGCGAGAGGAGGGAGCCGUCUGACGGCUUUUGACACGGCCGACAAGUAAAUCCGUCUUAGGGGAUGCGGAGAUAGACUCUCUGCCAUGAGCGCAUGGCCGCUCCUCCUUUGCCCCGCGUGUGUGCGUGUGUGCGCCAUCUCGUUCAUUUCUUUCGUCUCUUCUUUUCACCCAGCAACAGUGGCGCUCGGUCUCUGUAUAACGCUGCGUUCCACGGAAACAUUCGACCCCCCUCUCUCACUGCCUUUCAUCUUGUUUGCACGUGCGUUGAGCCUAAAAGUCGAUGUAUGCCCCUUAUGUAUGUGACUCCCCCUCCUGCGUUGUCGCUUGGCGUCCCCUUCUCGCUGUGCUUGUCUCCUUGUCAUUCUUUGGCGGCAUGUUGCACGUCCCGCCUGUCACACUCCCUUCCACCCACUCCCUGCAGAGCGCUGCGUGGCGUCGUGGCGCGCACCCUUUCUCCCUCC